rnacentral:rRNA from 1 species
AGAGUUUGAUCCUGGCUCAGGAUGAACGCUGGCGGCGUGCUUAACACAUGCAAGUCGAACGAAGCACUUUAACUUGAUUUCCUCGGAAUGAUUGUUCUUGUGACUGAGUGGCGGACGGGUGAGUAACGCGUGGGUAACCUGCCUCAUACAGGGGGAUAACAGUUGGAAACGACUGCUAAUACCGCAUAAGCGCACGGUAUCGCAUGAUACAGUGUGAAAAACUCCGGUGGUAUGAGAUGGACCCGCGUCUGAUUAGCUAGUUGGCGGGGUAACGGCCCACCAAGGCGACGAUCAGUAGCCGACCUGAGAGGGUGACCGGCCACAUUGGGACUGAGACACGGCCCAAACUCCUACGGGAGGCAGCAGUGGGGAAUAUUGCACAAUGGGCGAAAGCCUGAUGCAGCGACGCCGCGUGAACGAAGAAGUAUUUCGGUAUGUAAAGUUCUAUCAGCAGGGAAGAUAAUGACGGUACCUGACUAAGAAGCACCGGCUAAAUACGUGCCAGCAGCCGCGGUAAUACGUAUGGUGCAAGCGUUAUCCGGAUUUACUGGGUGUAAAGGGAGCGCAGGCGGUACGGCAAGUCUGAAGUGAAAGCCCGGGGCUCAACCCCGGGACUGCUUUGGAAACUGUCGGACUAGAGUGCAGGAGAGGUAAGAGGAAUUCCUAGUGUAGCGGUGAAAUGCGUAGAUAUUAGGAGGAACACCAGUGGCGAAGGCGUCUUACUGGACUGUAACUGACGUUGAGGCUCGAAAGCGUGGGGAGCAAACAGGAUUAGAUACCCUGGUAGUCCACGCCGUAAAC